rnacentral:pre_miRNA from 1 species
GCUCGUGAUUGUCCAAACGCAAUUCUUGUGUGCGCCGAGAGUUGGGUGUGGACGUCGAGAGCC